UUUGCCAACAUGUGCUAGAGGAACAUUGGUGACUGCUGCGUCUCGCUGAUUUUUCUGUAUUUCAGGCUUUAAUGCCAGACUGUAUCAACUUUAAAAAGCAAGCUCUUAAAAAUGGAUCUUGGAACUCUGCAAUCUUUUCAGUUUCUUUCGUGUUUCAAAAAGGGGUUCUGUGUGAACAGGUUUGAUGGCAAGAAUUCAAAUGUUGUUUAUUAAUCCUCAAUACUUUGUCAUAGAUAUCUCAGGGCUAUUUCAAUCUGAGUUUUUACCCUGCCCAAAAGUGACAAUAAUGGAUUUCAACGUUUCUUCUCAUUCAACUGCCCAGCAGGGAUCAUGUGCUACAAGAGCUCUUCCCACACCUCAAACAAUCUCAACCACCUCUACAUCACAACCCACUGAGGGUGAAUGCCUAGACAUAUUUUGCAGUUCCAGUGCCAAGACUGUUUCCUCUCUGAUCCUCGUGGUGGUGUGUUUCUUUUUCUGGUGAAUCAAACAUGAGAAAUCACUAUUAACCAUCACCCAGUGUCUGACUACACAAGAAUUCAAUGUCAAAGCAAUACAUCGGUCUUCAGCUUUCUGGUUUAUAAUACAAUUAGCUUGAUACCAUGUGCAUUUUUUUUCCUUACCAUGUGCAUUUUAAUUAAACUAACAUAUCUAUCUAUAUUCACAUAUCUGGGAUCAACAUGUUAAUCUUAGAUCUGAAUACAAUACUUACCAAUGUAAAUCUCUUUAAUGAUGUUUGACUGUCUUUAAAGGAUCAAUUAAAAAGUUUCAAUAGGUGAGGUGUUAUUUUACCAUUUUGGAAACAUGUAGUGGCUAAUGGUAGAAUUGCAUUUCUAUUCACAAAACAGCUUUUGAUUACAUGUAACAGAGGAAAUCAGUUAUGUAUUCCACAGUGAUUUCAUUAAGAACAGCAGCAGCAUUUUUAUAACAUGGAGUUUACAUGUUGUGUUUUAUAUUGGAGAAGAGACCUAAUUAAGCCUGCACUUGUCAAGCACCACAAAUUGUGGGCUUAAGCCCUUGCCCUUUUUCAAAGUAUUUAUCUCAAUAUUUAUCAUCUACAAUAUUGUGGUCAAUAAAACAAAAUGCAUUUGAAUUAAAAUAUGACAGUAUCAAAUCACUCAAAUGUCGGAAAUUCCAACUGAAAGCUGACAAGGGAUGAAUGUAUAGAACCCACUAGUAGUGUGGUAAUGAUCCAAAAACAUAAAAAUAUGCUACUAACUUAUUUGAAGACAUGAAACAAAAAAUAAACUUGCUUGAUUUUGCUUGAUUGAACUUGAUUUGGCAAUAAUGGCCUGGCAUGUGAAACAUGGAACAGCAUAUUGUCCUUUGACAUGACCCCAAAACAUGGCAAACAUGAGGGCUUAAAUACAAGACUAUGGGCAGCACGGACAAAAACCACCAGACAGACAGACAUGACAUAUCCCACUGGUUUGGGACCAAGGAUGGGGCUUCUGGCUUGUAGCCCAUAACAGACGUAGGCUCAGGUGCAGGGUCUAUGACAGCCAAGAUGUAAGACUCUGGCCUGGCAGCCUUGACGAGAACUUGGUGGCAAUGAAAUCAGGAGACUUCAGGGUGGCAGCCAUGAUGUGGGAUUUUGUUGUGGUGCUAAGGUGACUCUCAUCAUAUUGAGCCAAAGAGUAUUUUACUCUCCCACCAGGCAUCUAUGAAUAAACUGGCUCAUUAAAACCAUGAUGAAAAAAAAAAAAAAAAAUUGUGCCACAUCAUUGAAGUCUGCCAAAUAACAGAGCUCAAGGUUGUCCUCCACACAAUUCUCUAGGGAGCAUUUUUUCAAACCAAGCUGAACAAUGACUGAAGCAGAUGAGGACGAAGGCGUAGAGAACCCAGGUGCAGUUUUAUUUCACAAUGGUGAUGAUCCAAAAACAUAAACUUAAACUAUGAACUUAAUACAUGAUAUAAAAACAAAACUUAAACAUUAACUAUGAGCUUGUUUUGACAAUAAAAAAUGACCUUACAUGUGGAACAUGGAACAGCAUAACGUCUUUCAUUACAUGACCCUAAAACAUGGCAACCAUGAGGGUUUAAAUACAAGACUAGAGGGGAUGCAUCACAAAAACAACCAAUGACAGACAGAUGUAACAUAAAUGUAAU
rnacentral:lncRNA from 12 species